AAUUGUUAGCAGCAAGUUUAUCCAUAUGAUUCGAGUUGUUUGCUGGACGCGAAACAUGAUUGGGUCGAGACUAGUUGUUGUGAUAUGAUGGUUUGGCAGCAAAAUUUGCUAUAAUUGGAACUGUGGUAGAAGAAGAUGAGCAAAUUAGAUUCUGCUCAAAAUCAAGGAGCCUUCUCAUGAAGCUCUUCAAAUGUCAAUGGAGUUUCCCGGGCGCAUAGAGCUGUAGUGAUAGUGUCAUAUUCGGCUGGAAGUCCAUGAAGAACAUGAAGGAAGGGCUCAUCCAUUGAGAUUUGAACUCCAGCAGAGGCUAAAGUGCUGCAGAUUUGUUUUAUAUUCUGAAGAUAUGAAUUAACAGAAAGUUUACCUUUUUUCAUGUCUCUCUAAGACUUAAUAUACGAGCGUCUGAUGGCUUCGCAUAGGUUACUGUCAGAUUUUUCCAGAGAGCACAUGAAGAUUUGGCAUCAAUGACAAAAGGAACAAUAUCAUAAGAUAGAGAGGCAACAAUGGCACUCCAAAUGAGAUGGUCUUGUCGUUGAUGAAAAGGUGUGGCUAUUGAACUUGGUGGUUGUUCAAUAAAGUGAAAGAAAUUGUAUGCACUAAGGAUGAUUUCCCACUAAUAUUAUGAUAUUUCCAUGACUAAGAGUUUGUAUUGUUGAGCUUUAGAGGUGCCUGAGCGACAACAUUGUAUUAAUCAACUGCUCAUUGUUAUUCAUGGUGAGAAUUAUUGGAGAAUUUGGUACAGAUAUAGGAAAAUGUGUGGCUGUGAUUUUCUCAGUGGA
rnacentral:misc_RNA from 1 species